AGUUUGAGUAGAUCGCAAUGAGUUUAGCUGGUAAAGUUGUUAUUGUAACCGGAGCGAGUUCUGGCAUUGGUGCCAUCACAGCUGUUGAAUUUGCCAAGCAAGGUUCCAAAGUGGUGCUCACGGGACGAAAUGAAGCAAAUCUGAAGGCUACAGAGGCGGCCUGUAAAGCAGCCAACAGCAAAGUGGAACUACUACUCAUCACCGCUGAUGUCACAGUGGAUGCGGAACGCAUUAUAAACUCGACAAUUGACAAGUUCGGACAGUUGGAUGUGUUGGUGAAUAAUGCCGGUUUUGGUGAAGGAGGUUCAAUCUUAGAUAUUGAGGUCGAUCAAUUUGAUCGCGUCCUCGAUACCAAUCUGCGUUCGGUCUUCCUGCUGACUAAAUACGCCGCACCACAUCUCGUGAAGACACAAGGUAAUAUCGUGAAUGUUUCCAGCAUCGCAGGAUUACGUUCGUUCCCUGGUGGAUCGGUCUAUUGCACUUCCAAGGCAGCACUUGAUCAAUUCACCAGAUGUAUCGCCUUAGAUUUGGCACCGAAAAAUGUACGUGUGAAUGAAGUAAAUCCCGGUGUGAUAGUGACAGAAUUCCUAAAGCGUGUUGGCUUGUCGGAAGAGGAAGAAGCUAAAUUUUUGGAGCAUUCAAAGACUACGCGUCGGUCGGUCGCGUCGGUGAACCAAAGGAAGUGGCUGAUGCCAUUAUUUUCCUUGCUAGUGACAGUUCGAGCUUUAUAACGGGCGCAACCCUGCCUAUCGAUGGUGGCAGACACGCCAUGUGCCCGCGUUAAUAUUUCGUAGAAUACUUAGAUAUACAUAUAAGUAAAAAUAAAGAA